rnacentral:tRNA from 1 species
GCUUGGCUGGCUUAGUCAGUAGAGCAUGUGACUCUUGAUCUUGGGGUCAUGAGUUCAAGCCCCAUGUUGGGCA